rnacentral:rRNA from 1 species
GGGUGAGUAACACGUGGGUGAUCUGCCCUGCACUUCGGGAUAAGCCUGGGAAACUGGGUCUAAUACCGGAUAGGACGAUGGUUUGGAUGCCAUUGUGGAAAGUUUUUCGGUGUGGGAUGAGCUCGCGGCCUAUCAGCUUGUUGGUGGGGUAAUGGCCUACCAAGGCGUCGACGGGUAGCCGGCCUGAGAGGGUGUACGGCCACAUUGGGACUGAGAUACGGCCCAG